UGCUUGCUCUUGUGAUGACUGGUUGUGUGCUAGCAUAGAUAAGACGAGAGCAGGUUUAAAAAGCAGAAGCAUUUCUGAACUUUUGUCAGAAAGUAAAACUUCAUAUCUCCUCGUACUACAACAGUUACGCUGACAAUAAAUAGCAUCUAUCUGAUUGAACAGUACAAGUAAAAUGAGCAUAAACAUUUUGACUGCCAUCAUCUUCACUGCAUCCUUUUUCCCCUGGGCCAUCAACAUGACUGAAUAUCCAACAUUCCCCUGUUACAACAAAAGCUCAGAAUACAAAUACAACAAAUUUGUCAAAAAUCACAUCCUCCAUGACAGCUUUGACAGAAAUUCUCUAGAUGCUUGGAAAAGGUAUUUGAAAAAGGAAGGCCUCUGGUGCCGAACUCCAGUGCAGUCCUUCAUCAGUGACAGUGAGUGGAAUGUCGACAGGAUCUGCAGCAGUGAUGGUCGUCGCUUGGCUGACUCAGUUACCUACGCAGGCAACUUGUGUAUCAGCAACUCAGAAAUGCUGAUUUAUGAGGUCACAAUUAAGAAAACCAACAAGGGUCGUAAAAUUAAUGUUACUCGAGCCCAGAGGCCUGUCAUUGUUGCGUGCGAUAAGGUUGGAAACAAGUGCCUCCCAGUUCAUUUUCAGAAAUAUGAGCACCAAACCCCAAGCAAUAUACCCUGCAAUCCUGCAAGAAUUGUCAGUAUUGCAGUAGAAUAGGUUUUCAUUAUCAAACGAAUUAAUCUGUUGCAAAAGUUUCAACUCAUCAUCUUUGAAGGGUGUUAUACUAUAAUCACUAUGUCCCUUGUUUGUUACAUUCUAAAAAUAACCCACGAUAGGUGAA